GAGACUGAACUCGCUUCAAAGUUAUAAUUUAGAAAUUUGACCGAAAAUAGAAAAAAACUGAAGUUUAUUGAGCUUGUUGAUGGUGCCACCGARACGAAACGUUGCCAAAGACAUAACGCAUCUGUAUAGUAAGAGGGAGUUAGURAAGUCGAUGUCAUAAAAUCCCAAAGAAAAAAAAAUAUAAAAAAAUCUGUUUAUUAAACAUUUAUACUCUG